rnacentral:rRNA from 1 species
UGAGGAAUAUUGGUCAAUGGCCGCAGGGCUGAACCAGCCAAGUCGCGUGAGGGAUGACGGUCCUAUGGAUUGUAAACCUCUUUUGUCAGGGAGCAAAGGGCGCCACGUGUGGCGUUUUGCGAGUACCUGAAGAAAAAGCAUCGGCUAACUCCGUGCCAGCAGCCGCGGUAAUACGGAGGAUGCGAGCGUUAUCCGGAUUUAUUGGGUUUAAAGGGUGCGCAGGCGGAAUGUCAAGUCAGCGGUAAAAUUUCGGGGCUCAACCCCGUCGUGCCGUUGAAACUGGCGUUCUUGAGUGAGCGAGAAGUAUGCGGAAUGCGUGGUGUAGCGGUGAAAUGCAUAGAUAUCACGCAGAACUCCGAUUGCGAAGGCAGCAUACCGGCGCUCAACUGACGCUCAUGCACGAAAGCGUGGGUAUCGAACA